GCAGCUUGACCAUGGACAAUGAGUCCUCUGACAUCAUUCUCAAGAGCAAGACUGUAUAUACGUUAAGCUAGUGACAUCAUAUACUCAGAUGUCCAAAUGCUGCGUACAUGGGACAUUGCUGUGAAACCCCUCAUUAUAAAAAUUAAAAAGCCAGCAAGCUUCUGCGUGCUAUCCUUUAAGGAAGGAUUAUGAUCUCUGCAGUACAUCAUAUACUCUCACGGCUGGCUUCCUCUGUAAGUUGAGCUGCUGUUAUGAAAAGCUAAAAUUAAAAGACUUACAAGCUGUACUUCCAACCUGAAUAUGAAGCUGCAUACCUAUGUUGGCACUGGAAUAGGAAAACGCAGCAGUUCACUGUCCUUCCUCUGAAUCACCCCUGUUUCAUCUGAGCACGGCUGAGAGCAUGAUGUUGAUGAAAUGAUGUUCCUGCAAAGGAUGGGGUUUUUUUGCUUGGGACUUUGAUAGGAAUCUGAAUACCAUGGUCAUUACACUCUUCAUGGCAACAUUUCUAAGACUUCAUAAAGGAAAUAUUGGAGGUGGCAGAUGCUUUCCUCAAUUGUGAUUUACAUUGAGAAGAAAAUUAAAACCCUCACCGUAACAAUUAACUGAC